rnacentral:rRNA from 1 species
UCGAACAGACCUAAAUAUUCCAGCUUAUACACCAAAAUUUUAUUUUAAUCCAACAUCGARGUCGCAAUCUCUCCUUUCGAUCAGAACUCUCAAGAAAAAUUACGCUGUUAUCCCUAARGUAAUUUAAUCUUUUAAUCUUUAAAUAARGAUCAAUUAACCAUAAAUUAAUGUUUAUUUCUAAAAAAAGUUUGUUCAAUUUUUCAAUCACCCCAAUUAAAUUAAUUAUUACAUAAAAAAAACUAUAUUCUUAUAUUUUUAAUAUAAAUACUAAUAAAACUCUAUAGGGUCUUCUCGUCUUUAAUAUUCAUUUAAGCUUUUUAACUUAAAAAUAAAAUUCUAACUAAUAUAAACAGAGACAGCUAUUUUCUCAUCUAACCUUUCAUUCCAGCUUUCAAUUAAAAAACUAAUGAUUAUGCUACCUUUGCACGGUCAAAAUACCGCGGCCAUUUAAACUUUCAUUGGGCAGGUUGGACCUUAAAUUAUACUCAAAAA